rnacentral:snoRNA from 1 species
GGCGAUGACGACUGAAUCCAAUGCUGAGCAAAGGCGAUGAUUGGCCCCAGAGUGGCUGAGC